rnacentral:rRNA from 12 species
AUGGGCAGCCACACUGUCCUGCAAAUACCCAAUCCCAUCUGAUCUCGGAAGCUAAGCAGGGCCGGUACUGGUUAGUACAUGGUUGUGAGACCCUUUUUAAGACCAGGGGCAGUUAGAC